CCCACAGUUUGUUUAUUUUGAAGGUUUAUGAUCUGGGGUAAGACAUAUCUUCCUCCUGUAUCUUGGUUUCCUUGACUAGGAAAUGUAAGAGCUAGACUGGAUGUCAUCAAAGACCCUUCUUUUGCUCCAACACUCUUUGAAAUAUCCAAGAUGCUGCAUGAAACAUCUAGCCUUGGAGAUGUGGGGCAGUCAGGGAGGUUCCAGAAAGAAGCACCAGGAUGGUUUUCUGAACUCUACUCUGCAGCUGCUUCCUUCACACAGGCUCGGACCAUGUCUAUCUCAUUUACCCUCUGAAAGUCAGACCUACUGCAGAUCCUGGUACAUCAGAAUUGUCAGUACGGUAUUGUAGAAGAAAUGAAUUUGUGUGUGUGUCUAUUCAUAUUCUAUGUUGGCAUCUAGUUCAUGGUUUCUGCUGGUUUUCAGCUUGGCUUACCUGAUAUUCCUGAACUUUGAGUCAGCAGGAAGGGAAAAGUGAGUUAAUUCUGCAGUUAGAGAUGGUAUGGUAAUUUUCACAGGGUAGCUCUAUGAUUUGAGAGCAGGUGCUCAGUUAAUAUACCUUGGAGAAGGCUAGUGGGAGGUCCUUUUGGGAUUGUUUUGGAAUUGUUUGUACAGCAGAAGAGCUAAUAACCAUCACUGCCUCUGAGAAUCAGCCUUUUCUCCAUGAGCAUAUGUU